rnacentral:rRNA from 1 species
AAAAGAAGAUCAAGAAGCGCUUCAGAAUGAAGCUUUCUUGAUGGAGGGGAGCGGCAGACGGGUGAGUAACACGUGGGAAUCUACCCAUCCCUGCGGAACAACUCCGGGAAACUGGAGCUAAUACCGCAUACGCCCUUCGGGGGAAAGAUUUAUCGGGGAUGGAUGAGCCCGCGUUGGAUUAGCUAGUUGGUGGGGUAAAGGCCUACCAAGGCGACGAUCCAUAGCUGGUCUGAGAGGAUGAUCAGCCACAUUGGGACUGAGACACGGCCCAAACUCCUACGGGAGGCAGCAGUGGGGAAUAUUGGACAAUGGGCGCAAGCCUGAUCCAGCCAUGCCGCGUGAGUGAUGAAGGCCUUAGGGUUGUAAAGCUCUUUCACCGAUGAAGAUAAUGACGGUAGUCGGAGAAGAAGCCCCGGCUAACUUCGUGCCAGCCGCCGCAGUAAGAC